rnacentral:rRNA from 1 species
AAUCAACGCUGGCGGCGUGCCUAACACAUGCAAGUCGCACGAGAAAGGGGAGCAAUCCCUGAGUACAGUGGCGCACGGGUGAGUAACACGUGAAUUAUCUACCUCCGAGUGGGGAAUAACUGAGAGAGAUCUUAGCUAAUACCGCAUAACACUUACGAGUCAAAGCAGCAAUGCGCUUGGAGAGGAGUUCGCGGCAGAUUAGUUAGUUGGCGGGGAAUGGCCCACCAAGACGAUGAUCUGUAUCCGGCCUGAGAGGGCGCACGGACACACUGGAACUGAAACACGGUCCAGACUCCUACGGGAGGCAGCAGUGGGGAAUCUUGCGCAAUGGCCGAAAGGCUGACGCAGCGACGCCG